GGAAGUAAAAGUCGAAACAAGGUCUCCGUGGGUGAACCAGCGGAGGGAUCAUUACCGAGUUAUCAACUCCCAAACCCCUGUGAACAUACCCAACGUUGCUUCGGCGGGACCGCCCCGGCGCCCUCGGCGUCCCGGAACCAGGCGCCCGCCGGAGGACCCAAACUCUUGUUUAAACCAUAGUGGCAUAUUCUGAGUCUCACAAGAAAAAUGAAUCAAAACUUUCAACAACGGAUCUCUUGGCUCUG
rnacentral:misc_RNA from 1 species